rnacentral:rRNA from 1 species
CACGUAGGGGGCGAGCGUUGUCCGGAAUUAUUGGGCGUAAAGAGCUCGUAGGCGGUUCGGUAAGUCGGGUGUGAAAACUCAGGGCUCAACCCUGAGACGCCACCCGAUACUGCUGUGACUAGAGUCCGGUAGGGGAGCGUGGAAUUCCUGGUGUAGCGGUGAAAUGCGCAGAUAUCAGGAGGAACACCAGCGGCGAAGGCGGCGCUCUGGGCCGGUACUGACGCUGAGGAGCGAAAGCGUGGGGA